AGUGAACGCUGGCGGUAGGCCUAACACAUGCAAGUCGAACGGCAGCACAGUAAGAGCUUGCUCUUACGGGUGGCGAGUGGCGGACGGGUGAGGAAUACAUCGGAAUCUACUUUUUCGUGGGGGAUAACGUAGGGAAACUUACGCUAAUACCGCAUAUGACCUACGGGUGAAAGCAGGGGAUCUUCGGACCUUGCGCGAUUGAAUGAGCCGAUGUCGGAUUAGCUAGUUGGCGGGGUAAAGGCCCACCAAGGCGACGAUCCGUAGCUGGUCUGAGAGGAUGACCAGCCACACUGGAACUGAGACACGGUCCAGACUCCUACGGGAGGCAGCAGUGGGGAAUAUUGGACAAUGGGCGCAAGCCUGAUCCAGCCAUACCGCGUGGGUGAAGAAGGCCUUCGGGUUGUAAAGCCCUUUUGUUGGGAAAGAAAAGCAGCAGGUUAAUACCCCGCUGUUCUGACGGUACCCAAAGAAUAAGCACCGGCUAACUUCGUG
rnacentral:rRNA from 1 species